GACGAACGCUGGCGGCGUGCCUAAUACAUGCAAGUCGAACGCAGUUGGGACGGGUGAGUAACACGUGGGUAACCUCCCAUCAGAGGGGAUAACACUUGGACACAGGUGCUAAACCGAUACUGAUGGAUGAACCCGCGGUGCAUUAGCUAGUUGGUGAGGUAACGGCUCACCAAGGCCACGAUGCAUAGCCGACCUGAGGGGGUGAGCGGCCACACUGGGAGUGAGACACGGCCCAGACUCCUACGGGAGGAAGCAGUAGGGAAUCUUCGGCAAUGGACGAAAGUCUGACCGAGCAAAGCGGCGUGAGUGAAGAAGGUGUGCGGAUCGUAAAACUCUGUUGUUAGAGAAGCGGUAUCUAAACAGAAAGCCACGGCUAACUACGUGCCAGCAGCCGCGGUAAUUC
rnacentral:rRNA from 1 species